rnacentral:rRNA from 1 species
AUUGAACGCUGGCGGCAGGCUUAACACAUGCAAGUCGAGCGAGCGGCGGACGGGUGAGUAAUGUCUGGGAAACUGCCUGAUGGAGGGGGAUAACUACUGGAAACGGUAGCUAAUACCGCAUACCAUCAGAUGUGCCCAGAUGGGAUUCGCUAGGAUGUGGGGUAAUGGCUAACCUAGGCGACGAUCCCUAGCUGGUCUGAGAGGAUGACCAGCCACACUGGAACUGAGACACGGUCCAGACUCCUACGGGAGGGAGCAGGGGGGAAUAUUGGACAAUGGGCGCAAGCCUGAUGGAGCCAUGCCGCGUGUGUGAAGAAGGCCUUCGGGUUGUAAAGCACUUUCAGCGAGGAGGCGUUACUCGCAGAAGAAGCACCGGCUAACUCCGUGCCAGCAGCCGCGGUAAUAC